GCGCAGCAGGCGAGAAUUUUUCUCAAUGGGGGAAACCCUGAAGGAGCGACGCCGCGUGGAGGAUGAAGGCUUUCGGGUUGUAAACUCCUGUCAUUUGAGAACAAGUGGCCGAACGUAACUACUUCGGCCUUGAUAGUAUCAGAAGAGGAAGGGACGGCUAACUCUGUGCCAGCAGCCGCGGUAAUACAGAGGUCUCAAGCGUUGUUCGGAUUCAUUGGGCGUAAAGGGUGCGUAGGUGGCGCCGUAAGUCGGGUGUGAAAUUUCGGAGCUUAACUCCGAAACUGCAUUCGAUACUGCGGUGCUUGAGGGCUGGAGAAGAGACUGGAAUUUACGGUGUAGCAGUGAAAUGCGUAGAGAUCGUAAGGAAGACCAGUGGCGAAGGCGGGUCUCUGGACAGUUCCUGACACUGAGGCACGAAGGCCAGGGGAGCAAACGGGAUUA
rnacentral:rRNA from 1 species